AGUCGAACGCGAAAGCUCCCUUCGGGGAGCAAGUAGAGUGGCGCACGGGUGAGUAACACGUAGGUAAUCUACCUUCGGAUGGGGAAUAACAGCCGGAAACGGUUGCUAAUACCGCAUAAUGCAGCGGCACCUAAUGGUGACAGUUGUUAAAGCGGGGGAUCGUAAGACCUCGCGUCUGAAGAGGAGCCUGCGGCAGAUUAUCUAGUUGGUAAGGUAACGGCUUACCAAGGCGAUGAUCUGUAGCCGGCCUGAGAGGGCGGUCGGCCACACUGACACUGACAUACGGGUCAGACUCCUACGGGAGGCAGCAGUCGGGAAUUUUGGGCAAUGGGCGAAAGCCUGACCCAGCAACGCCGCGUGAAGGAUGAAAUCCCUCGGGAUGUAAACUUCGCAAGAACGGGAAGAAUAAGUGAGAGUUAAUAUCUCUCGCGAUGACGGUACCGUUUGUAAGCUCCGGCUAACUCCGUGCCAGCAGCCGCGGUAAUACGGGGGGAGCAAGCGUUGUUCGGAUUUACUGGGCGUAAAGGGCGCGUAGGCGGCCACCGCAAGUCGACUGUGAAAUCUCCGGGCUUAACCCGGAAAGGUCAGCCGAUACUGCGGGGCUAGAGUGCAGAAGGGGGCAACUGGAAUUCUCGGUGUAACGGUGAGAUGCGUAAAUUUCGAGAGGAACACCUGCGGCGAAGGCGGGUUGCUGGGCUGACACUGACGCUGAGGCGCGAAAGCUAGGGGAGCGAACGGGAUUAGAUACCCCGGUAGUCCUAGCCUUAAACGAUGAAUGCUUGGUGUCUGGGGUUUUAUAGUCCCCGGGUGCCGUCGCUAACGCUUUAAGCAUUCCGCCUGGGGAGUACGGUCGCAAGACUGAAAACUCAAAAGGAAUUGACGGGGAACCCGCCA
rnacentral:rRNA from 1 species